rnacentral:rRNA from 1 species
UUUUGGACAAUGGGCGCAAGCCUGAUCCAGCCAUUCCGCGUGAGUGAAGAAGGCCUUCGGGUUGUAAAGCUCUUUCGCAAGCCCAGAAAGCUUACUUUCUAAUAAAGAGUGAGGUUGACGGUACCUUGAUAAGAAGCACCGGCUAACUACGUGCCAGCAGCCGCGGUAAUACGUAGGGUGCGAGCGUUAAUCGGAAUUACUGGGCGUAAAGCGUGCGCAGGCGGCUUUGUAAGUCAGAUGUGAAAUCCCCGAGCUCAACUUGGGAACUGCCUUUGAAACUACAAGGCUAGAAUAUGUCAGAGGGGGGUAGAAUUCCACGUGUAGCAGUGAAAUGCGUAGAGAUGUGGAGGAAUACCAAGGCGAAGGCAGCCCCCUGGGAUAAUAUUGACGCUCAUGCACGAA